CGCCUUAGCAACCGCUCCGGGUGGCGGCCGAGUCCGAGUCCGCUCCCCGGACGAACAGGAGGCGAGGGAACGUUCCAGGACGGGACCAAAGAUUAUCAUAAGUGGUGCUCAAGAAGGAACUGCAGACGCUGGAAAAUCGAAGGUACACAAAAAUGCUGGAGAAACUCAGCGGGUGCAGCAGCAUCUAUGGAGCGAAGGAAAUGGGUAACGUUUCGGGCCAAAACCCUUCUUCAGACAAGUGCUAUUGUGUUAUCUUUUGUAGUUGUAUCAAGGCAACGGAUCCAACAAUAGCCUGGUCUAAAGGUACUCAUACCAACUUCUCAAGGGCAGUUAAUCAUGGAUAAUGAUAGCUUGUCUUAACAGCAAUACUCAAAUCUGAAAGAAUAAAAGACACAGAAGCAAAACAAGUACAUUGAAGAGUCAAAAGACGCCAGAAAGGAGAAAAAGAAAAUAAUAAUGCUGGACAGAGUAAAGUGAGAAAUACACUUCAAAUCCACAAAUAGUGCAAUUGCAUAAUAAUUGUAAAAACAUCCAAAUAAUACCACCCAAUAGACAGGCAAGAGACAAUUAAAAAAAAAAAGAGAUUGAAUUACAUAGUUGGACAAAAUUCCAACUGAAGUGGUGGAACCACCGCACAGAAAGAAUGGUCUCCUUUUGUGCUGAAAUUUUCACUGUAAUAUCACACAUCUUAGAACAAGAACCUACUUUUGGUCUCUCCUGUACAUUUUGAAAUAAACAGAACAAUAUUGUGCAAACAAGAUUUAUUAAGUAAAUAUCAAAAGGAAAAAUUGGACUCCUGUACAACUAGAAAUAGUGGAAGAUUUGUAAAAUCAGCCAAUAAGUUCUGUUUUCUUUCACACAACUGAUAUGGUUCUUCAUAAGCCACUCCUGACUCACUGCUGCUUUGUAGCCAUCACCUUCAGCCAGGCCACUGGAGAACAAGAAA